rnacentral:rRNA from 1 species
GUCCUCUUGGUUUGUUUAGGAGGUCAGACCUGCCCAGUGAAUUUUUCAACGGCCGCGGUAUAUUGACCGUGCAAAGGUAGCAUAAUCAUUAGUCUUUUAAUAGAAGGCUGGAAUGAAAGGUUAAACGAAAAACUAACUGUCUCAUUUAUAUAUCUAGAAUUUAUCUUUUAAGUUAAAAGACUUAAAUUUUGUUGGAGGACGAGAAGACCCUAUAGAGCUUUACAUUUUUGUUUAUUAAUUUUUAAAGUUUAUAAUUAAUUUUAUUUUAUAAAUGUGUUUUGUUGGGGUGACAAGAAAAUAUGUUUAACUUUUAUUAAUUUAUUUACACUAAUUUGUGGUAAAUGGAUCCAAAAUUUUUGAUCAUUAGAUUAAGUUACCUUAGGGAUAACAGCGUAAUCUUCCUUCAGAGCUCAAAUUUACAGGAAGGCUUGCGACCUCGAUGUUGGAUUAAGAUUAUAAUUAAGUGCAGCAGCUUAAUUUAUAGGUCUGUUCGACCUUUAAAUUCUUACAUGAUCUGAGUUCAGACCGG